rnacentral:rRNA from 1 species
AGUGAACGCUGGCGGCGUGCUUAACACAUGCAAGUCGAACGGUAACAGGAACUAGCUUGCUAGUUUGCUGACGAGUGGCGCACGGGUGAGUAAUAUAUAGUUAAUGUACCCCAAAGACUGGGAUAGCCACUGGAAACGGUGAUUAAUACUAGAUACACCUCUUUAACAUAAGUUAGAGAGGGAAAUGUCUUUUCGCUUUGGGAUCAGACUAUAUCCUAUCAGUUAGUUGGUGAGGUAAUGGCUCACCAAGGCAAUGACGGGUAGCGGGUUUGAGAGGAUGAUCCGCCACACUGGUACUGAGACACGGACCAGACUCCUACGGGAGGCAGCAGUGAGGAAUAUUGCACAAUGGAGGAAACUCUGAUGCAGCAACGCCGCGUGGAGGAUGACGCAUUUCGGUGUGUAAACUCCUUUUAUGAGUCAAGAAAAUGACGGUAGCUCAUGAAUAAGCACCGGCUAACUCCGUGCCAGCAGCCG